AGACGUUUAUUUUAGUUUGGCUCAAAUGGUUUUACGAGCAGUGCGGAGGCAUAUUAUAAACAAGGAUGGUUGAAAUGACACCAGAUGAGCAAUGCAUUUUUGGAGGAUUCAACACUUAAUUAUGUGUAUAAAGGCUCGUCUGUGAAGGAGCGGUGUGUAAAAGGGAUUUGGCUACAAGGUCGUGGGUAACUUGCAUUAUUUUUGCAACAAACUUUUUAGAGGAGUUACAUGUUUUAUGGUCCAUUACAAAUAUUUUUUAAUGAUUAUAUCAUUCUUUUUCAUCUGCCUAUAAUUCAUCUAAUUAAGGAUAAAAUAGAAAUUUUAAUGUUGAA